rnacentral:piRNA from 1 species
UCACUUAAAUCUAAUUUGAAAACUAAGU